rnacentral:rRNA from 1 species
CCUACGGGUGGCAGCAGUGGGGAAUAUUGGACAAUGGGGGGAACCCUGAUCCAGCCAUGCCGCGUGUGUGAAGAAGGCCCUCGGGUUGUAAAGCACUUUCAGUGAGGAAGAACGCCUGGUGGUUAAUACCCAUCAGGAAAGACAUCACUCACAGAAGAAGCACCGGCUAACUCCGUGCCAGCAGCCGCGGUAAUACGGAGGGUGCGAGCGUUAAUCGGAAUUACUGGGCGUAAAGCGCGCGUAGGUGGCUUGAUAAGCCGGUUGUGAAAGCCCCGGGCUCAACCUGGGAACGGCAUCCAGAACUGUCAAGCUAGAGUGCAGGAGAGGAAGGUAGAAUUCCCGGUGUAGCGGUGAAAUGCGUAGAGAUCGGGAGGAAUACCAGUGGCGAAGGCGGCCUUCUGGACUGACACUGACACUGAGGUGCGAAAGCGUGGGUAGCAAACAGGAUUAGAUACCCGGGUAGUC